CCGGAGAACUGAAACAUCUUAGUACCCGGAGGAAGAGAAAGAAAAUUCGAUUCCCUUAGUAGCGGCGAGCGAAACGGGAAGAGCCCAAACCAAAAAGCUUGCUUGUUGGGGUUGUAGGACACUCUAUACGGAGUUACAAAGGACGACAUUAGACGAAUCAUCUGGAAAGAUGAAUCAAAGAAGGUAAUAAUCCUGUAGUCGAAAAUGUUGUCUCUCUUGAGUGGAUCCUGAGUACGACGGAGCACGUGAAAUUCCGUCGGAAUCUGGGAGGACCAUCUCCUAAGGCUAAAUACUCUCUAGUGACCGAUAGUGAACCAGUACCGUGAGGGAAAGGUGAAAAGCACCCCGGAAGGGGAGUGAAAUAGAACCUGAAACCGUGUGCUUACAAGUAGUCAGAGCCCGUUAAUGGGUGAUGGCGUGCCUUUUGUAGAAUGAACCGGCGAGUUACGAUUUGAUGCAAGGUUAAGCAGUAAAUGUGGAGCCGUAGCGAAAGCGAGUCUGAAUAGGGCGUUUAGUAUUUGGUCGUAGACCCGAAACCAGGUGAUCUACCCUUGGUCAGGUUGAAGUUCAGGUAACACUGAAUGGAGGACCGAACCGACUUACGUUGAAAAGUGAGCGGAUGAACUGAGGGUAGCGGAGAAAUUCCAAUCGAACCUGGAGAUAGCUGGUUCUCUCCGAAAUAGCUUUAGGGCUAGCCUCAAGUGAUGAUUAUUGGAGGUAGAGCACUGUUUGGACGAGGGGCCCCUCUCGGGUUACCGAAUUCAGACAAACUCCGAAUGCCAAUUAAUUUAACUUGGGAGUCAGAACAUGGGUGAUAAGGUCCGUGUUCGAAAGGGAAACAGCCCAGACCACCAGCUAAGGUCCCAAAAUAUAUGUUAAGUGGAAAAGGAUGUGGCGUUGCCCAGACAACUAGGAUGUUGGCUUAGAAGCAGCCAUCAUUUAAAGAGUGCGUAAUAGCUCACUAGUCGAGUGACACUGCGCCGAAAAUGUACCGGGGCUAAACAUAUUACCGAAGCUGUGGAUUGUCCUUUGGACAAUGGUAGGAGAGCGUUCUAAGGGCGUUGAAGCAUGAUCGUAAGGACAUGUGGAGCGCUUAGAAGUGAGAAUGCCGGUGUGAGUAGCGAAAGACGGGUGAGAAUCCCGUCCACCGAUUGACUAAGGUUUCCAGAGGAAGGCUCGUCCGCUCUGGGUUAGUCGGGUCCUAAGCUGAGGCCGACAGGCGUAGGCGAUGGAUAACAGGUUGAUAUUCCUGUACCACCUAUAAUCGUUUUAAUCGAUGGGGGGACGCAGUAGGAUAGGCGAAGCGUGCGAUUGGAUUGCACGUCUAAGCAGUAAGGCUGAGUAUUAGGCAAAUCCGGUACUCGUUAAGGCUGAGCUGUGAUGGGGAGAAGACAUUGUGUCUUCGAGUCGUUGAUUUCACACUGCCGAGAAAAGCCUCUAGAUAGAAAAUAGGUGCCCGUACCGCAAACCGACACAGGUAGUCAAGAUGAGAAUUCUAAGGUGAGCGAGCGAACUCUCGUUAAGGAACUCGGCAAAAUGACCCCGUAACUUCGGGAGAAGGGGUGCUCUUUAGGGUUAACGCCCAGAAGAGCCGCAGUGAAUAGGCCCAAGCGACUGUUUAUCAAAAACACAGGUCUCUGCUAAACCGUAAGGUGAUGUAUAGGGGCUGACGCCUGCCCGGUGCUGGAAGGUUAAGAGGAGUGGUUAGCUUCUGCGAAGCUACGAAUCGAAGCCCCAGUAAACGGCGGCCGUAACUAUAACGGUCCUAAGGUAGCGAAAUUCCUUGUCGGGUAAGUUCCGACCCGCACGAAAGGCGUAACGAUUUGGGCACUGUCUCAACGAGAGACUCGGUGAAAUCAUAGUACCUGUGAAGAUGCAGGUUACCCGCGACAGGACGGAAAGACCCCGUGGAGCUUUACUGUAGCCUGAUAUUGAAAUUCGGCACAGCUUGUACAGGAUAGGUAGGAGCCUUUGAAACGUGAGCGCUAGCUUACGUGGAGGCGCUGGUGGGAUACUACCCUAGCUGUGUUGGCUUUCUAACCCGCACCACUUAUCGUGGUGGGAGACAGUGUCAGGCGGGCAGUUUGACUGGGGCGGUCGCCUCCUAAAAGGUAACGGAGGCGCUCAAAGGUUCCCUCAGAAUGGUUGGAAAUCAUUCAUAGAGUGUAAAGGCAUAAGGGAGCUUGACUGCGAGACCUACAAGUCGAGCAGGGUCGAAAGACGGACUUAGUGAUCCGGUGGUUCCGCAUGGAAGGGCCAUCGCUCAACGGAUAAAAGCUACCCCGGGGAUAACAGGCUUAUCUCCCCCAAGAGUUCACAUCGACGGGGAGGUUUGGCACCUCGAUGUCGGCUCAUCGCAUCCUGGGGCUGUAGUCGGUCCCAAGGGUUGGGCUGUUCGCCCAUUAAAGCGGUACGCGAGCUGGGUUCAGAACGUCGUGAGACAGUUCGGUCCCUAUCCGUCGUGGGCGUAGGAAAUUUGAGAGGAGCUGUCCUUAGUACGAGAGGACCGGGAUGGACAUACCUCUGGUGUACCAGUUGUCGUGCCAACGGCAUAGCUGGGUAGCUAUGUGUGGACGGGAUAAGUGCUGAAAGCAUCUAAGCAUGAAGCCCCCCUCAAGAUGAGAUUUCCCAACUUCGGUUAUAAGAUCCCUCAAAGAUGAUGAGGUUAAUAGGUUCGAGGUGGAAGCAUGGUGACAUGUGGAGCUGACGAAUACUAAUCGAUCGAAGACUUAAUCAA
rnacentral:rRNA from 1 species